rnacentral:rRNA from 1 species
GACGAACGCUGGCGGCGUGCUUAACACAUGCAAGUCGAACGGACAGACAGAGAGCUUGCUCUCUUGAAGUUAGUGGCGAACGGGUGAGUAACGCGUAAUCAACCUGCCCUUCAGAGGGGGAUAACAACGGGAAACCGUUGCUAAUACCGCGUACGAUUCAUGAACGGCAUCGUUUAUGAAUGAAAGGUGGCCUCUAUGUAUAAGCUAUCGCUGAAGGAGGGGAUUGCGUCUGAUUAGCUAGUUGGAGGGGUAACGGCCCACCAAGGCAAUGAGCAGUGGCCGGUCUGAGAGAAGGAACGGCCACAUUGGGACUGAGACACGGCCCAAACUCCUACGGGAGGAAGCAGUGGGGAAUCUUCCGCAAUGGACGAAAGUCUGACGGAGCAACGCCGCGUGAGUGAUGAAGGUCUUCGGAUUGUAAAGCUCUGUUAAUCGGGACGAAAGAGUUCUGCGUGAAUAAUGCAGAAAAGUGACGGUACCGGAAUAGAAAGCCACGGCUAACUACGUGCCAGCCGCCGCAGUAA